rnacentral:piRNA from 1 species
UGGGAUAUACAAUUUGUUCAGAGACAA